CUGGCGGCAGGCUUAAUACAUGCAAGUCGAACGGUAAGGCCGCCUGUAGCAAUACAGGAGGCACACGAGUGGCGCACGGGUGCGUAACGCGUAUGCAACCUGCCCCCAACGGGACAAACAGCUGGAAACGGCUGCUAAUAUCCCGAUGGUCACUCGGGAGGGCAUCCUCCUGAGUGUAAGAUUCAUUGGUGGGAUGGGCAUGCGUAUUAUUAGGUAGUUGGCGGGGUAACGGCCCACCAAGCCGACGAUGAUUAGGGGUCCUGAGAGGGUUAUCCCCCACACUGGAACUGAGACACGGUCCAGACUCCUACGGGAGGCAGCAGUAGGGAAUAUUGGGCAAUGGGAGCAAUCCUGACCCAGCCAUGCCGCGUGAAAAGGAAGACGGUCCUAUGGAUUGUAAACUUCUUUUGCCGCAGAGUAACCGCGGGGACGCGUCCCCGCCUGAGAGUAUGCGGCGAAUAAGUAUCGGCUAACUCCGUGCCAGCAGCGGC
rnacentral:rRNA from 1 species